rnacentral:lncRNA from 1 species
UUUGAGACGGCAAAGAGAAAGUGUAAAAGUCGGAGAGAUCGUGAAAAUUGGGCCACAUCAAAUCACUAAGAGCCCAUAUUAUUUCGCAUGAUUAUAUUGUUGAUAGCAUGGCAGAUUAGUGCAUUUUAAUUGGACGAUUAAAAAAUCUGACAUGGCACUCUCUCCAUUGAGAAUAUCUUCCUUUUAGUAUAGGAUAGAUUCUCAUGAAAAAAAUCGAUAGGUUAAACAAAUGUUUCAAAAUUUGUUGUGUUAUUGUUUUGUCUAUAAAUUACAAAAUUUAUUGAAUUAAU